rnacentral:rRNA from 1 species
CAGCGGAGGGAUCAUUACUGAGUUUACGCUCUAUAACCCUUUGUGAACAUACCUAUAACUGUUGCUUCGGCGGGUAGGGUCUCCGCGACCCUCCCGGCCUCCCGCCUCCGGGCGGGUCGGCGCCCGCCGGAGGAUAACCAAACUCUGAUUUAACGACGUUUCUUCUGAGUGGUACAAGCAAAUAAUCAAAACUUUUAACAACGGAUCUCUUGGUUCUGGCAUCGAUGAAGAACGCAGCGAAAUGCGAUAAGUAAUGUGAAUUGCAGAAUUCAGUGAAUCAUCGAAUCUUUGAACGCACAUUGCGCCCGCCAGCAUUCUGGCGGGCAUGCCUGUUCGAGCGUCAUUUCAACCCUCAAGCUCUGCUUGGUGUUGGGGCCCUACAGCUGAUGUAGGCCCUCAAAGGUAGUGGCGGACCCUCCCGGAGCCUCCUUUGCGUAGUAACUUUACGUCUCGCACUGGGAUCCGGAGGGACUCUUGCCGUAAAACCCCCCAAUUUUCCAAAGGUUGACCUCGGAUCAGGUAGGAAUACCCGCUGAACUUAAGCAUAU